GUGCUUCCUUUGGCAGCUCUUAUACUAAAAUGGGAAUGAUACGGAGGAGAUCAGCGUGGCCCCUUGCACGAGAAUGACAUGCAAAUUCAGGAAGUGUUCCAUAUUUUU
ensembl:snRNA U6 U6 spliceosomal RNA